rnacentral:lncRNA from 1 species
UAGAAUUUAUAAUUUAUAAUUCAUAUAGAAUGACAGAAAAGAUAAAAUAAAAAAAUUAAAACUGAAAAAUGAUGAUAAAUAUAAAUAAAAAUAUAUUUAUUUAACGUUAGAAUGGUUCUUUUGUAGGGAAAAAUUAAUUUUAACUAGUCAAAUAAUGGAUAGUGACAUAUUUAUAAACUAUGCCAUUUUGAAGGGAUAUUUAUGAUGAGUCUGGCUACUAUACUCUUAUGAGUACGAUCGCACUCGUACUCAUAAGUCGUUUUCGAUGAUAGAGCUUCCGAAUCGAUGAUUCAUACCGUUAAACGUUUUCUACAGCAUUUAAAACUUCUAGAAAUUAAAUUUUAUAAUUUUUCGACAUCAUUUACCUUACAAUCAAAAAGUCACAAAAUUGACAAUUUUUAAUGACAGGUAUAGGAUACUUGCUAGUUUAACGGUGUAAAAGAAUCGGAAUUGGUUAAAUUUUUUAUAGAAAAUUCUAUUCACUACCUAGAUAAAGAUCAAUAACUCCGAUCUUAAAUUAAAGGAUCCGAUCAUUCAUUUUUAGGACGUCGUUCAAUUUUAACCGUUCAUUUUAUGCCUGCUUGAUGGCCUUUAUUAUGAUUUCGAAAAUUUACCAAAUUUAUUUUUUAGAAGUUUUAAAUACUCUAGAUCAUAUUUAACAGAGUGAAUCGUCGAUUCGGAAGCUCCAUCAUCGAAAAUAACUUAUGAGUACGAAGGCUCCUAUACUCAUAAGAGUAUAGUAGCCCUACUCAUUUAUGAUAACUA